AGAGAGAGACAGACAGAGACAGAGACAGACAGAGACAGAUAGACAGAAACAGACAGACAGACAGACAGCUGCCAUGAAAGGAGAGUGACAAAGAACAGUGAUAGAAGUCUAGCUUGGGAAGAAACAAGGGCCUGGGGAGGGAAUGCCGAGUGUGGACACUCCAGGAAAGACGUUGGCCUCAAUUUUCCCUUCCCCACCAUCUACAGAGGAUGUUGAGGGGCAUCUUAGAGAGAGCUGCUGCGUCAGGGAGAGGAAGGAAAUGUCUACCUAGGCUGCUAAGAAGUUUCCAGAUUUAUCUGAAUAUCAGGUCAUGCAUGGUUCAGUGGUUCACAACAGUGAGCUCAGAACUUGGGAGGCUGAGGCAGGAGGGUUGUCACAAGUUUGAGACAAGCCUGAACUACACAGCGAGUUCUAGGGUGACCUCAACCACAGAGUGAGACCUGUCUCAAAAAAAAGUUUCUAAGAUUUUAAAUGUCAAUGACUCUUUUAAAUAUUAAAUAAUUCUUUUGGCCAGACCCCAUAUUUAAAUGAAGUU
rnacentral:lncRNA from 1 species